ensembl:lncRNA
GUAUGUAUUAACGCCAGUCCUGCGCUUAAUGGGCGAGGGGGCAGGACGACCCUUCCUCUGAACCUGAGGACGUUCUUCCGAACCCCCUCGCCCGUCGCCUCCUCCCCCUCCCCCCAGGCGCCGCCGCCGCCUCUCCCAGGGAGGAAGUGGUGAGGAUGCGGGGGAGGGCCCCCCAUUCUCACUUCCCCUGGGGCAGGGCGGGGCCUGCAGGGUUCCCUCCCCCUUAGCAGGAAUCGAGGCCCCCCCACCCCCGCACACACACAGGGGUGGGGCCCAAAGGAGGCUGCCCGAGCUGGGACUGGGCCGGGGUUGCACGCCCGCCAACCCCCCACCCCACCCCGGUAACACAAGUUCUCUAGGCUUUGACGGUUCUCAUCUUAAAUGUGGGGGUGUGAACACAGAGUAAACACUCAGCCAACAGUCCAGGAGCUGAUGAAGGAUAAACACAAUGUAUCCAGUCAUAUGGUGUAUUAUUCAGCCAAAGAGAAGAAUGAAGCACCGAUACACACUGCAACACGUAUGAACCUUAAAAAUCUUAUGCUGAGUGAAAGAAGCCAGAUGCGAAAGGCCCCAUAGGAUGUGAUUCCGUUUAUGUGAAAUGUCCAAAACAGGUCUUAGAUGUGGCAUGCAGGAUCUUUGGUUGAAGCAAGUGGGAUCUAGUCCCUCCUGACCAGGGAUGGAACCCUGGCCCCCUGCACUGCGAGCACAGAGUCUCAGUCACUGGACCACCGGGGAAGUCCCUGAAUUGCUCACUUUAAAAAGGAAAACUGCUGAGUAAUGAAGAUCUCCCUGAUCCAUGUUGCUGCGUCCUGGCCUCCCUCUCCAGGAAUCGAGACUUCUAAGGGUUGUGGAAAAGGCUUCGCCCUUCCAGAGAGUUCUGGGGAACCUUGUGGAGUCUCUCCAUGGCAACAAGGAGGAAGCAAGGCCACCUCACCACACUUGACAGGGAUGUGGGCACUUGGGGACCUCCCACAGACCUGCUGGCCGGGGAGGCAUAACCUGCUGGAGGGGUGUAGCGUGGAGGGACGGGCCUGGGGGUGCUUAUAGGGAUGGUUUUCCAAGGAACAGAGACGGGAACGAGGGAGGGGAGAUGCAUGCCUGUAUUCCCCAAGUAUUUUUAGGCACUGAACGCGGCCCUGAAAUAUUCCACGGCCACUCCCAAGAGUGAGCUGGGUGACUAUUUUGGUGCCUGGUUCCAGCGGGGGCGGAAUGGGGGUGAGUCAUCCCUGGGUGGCUGGGCCCAGACCAGGAGGGGGGGUCUCAGGGCAGGACCCAGGGCCUGUAAGGUGACAGCUUAGGAACCUGGGGCCAGGCAUCUGGUGUCGGCCUCCGGGGCACAGAGGACAGUGGCCUGGCCCCUCCCUGUGGCAUGGCACCGCUGCUCAGGUCCCCCCGGCCAGUCAGUCACGCUGCCCCCACAGCUAAUGGAGAGAAAGAGGGUCCUAGGUGAGGUUUCAGACACUCCCCAGGUGCCCAGUGAGGCGCUUCUCCUGUGUUUUCAAGCAGGAAUGAGGGACUUCCCCAGAGGUCCAGCAGUUAAGACUCCGCGCUUCCACUGCAGGGGGCACGAGUUCAAUUCCUAGUAUAAAAAAAAAUAAUUUUUUUUUUAAAGCAAAUAUGGAGCACGGCUGUGUGUCUGAGGCACAGUGGGG